CGUGCCUAAUACAUGCAAGUCGAGCGGACCGACGGGAGCUUGCUCCCUUAGGUCAGCGGCGGACGGGUGAGUAACACGUGGGUAACCUGCCUGUAAGACUGGGAUAACUCCGGGAAACCGGGGCUAAUACCGGAUGCUUGAUUGAACCGCAUGGUUCAAUCAUAAAAGGUGGCUUUUAGCUACCACUUACAGAUGGACCCGCGGCGCAUUAGCUAGUUGGUGAGGUAACGGCUCACCAAGGCGACGAUGCGUAGCCGACCUGAGAGGGUGAUCGGCCACACUGGGACUGAGACACGGCCCAGACUCCUACGGGAGGCAGCAGUAGGGAAUCUUCCGCAAUGGACGAAAGUCUGACGGAGCAACGCCGCGUGAGUGAUGAAGGUUUUCGGAUCGUAAAACUCUGUUGUUAGGGAAGAACAAGUACCGUUCGAAUAGGGCGGUACCUUGACGGUACCUAACCAGAAAGCCACGGCUAACUACGUGCCAGCAGCCGCGGUAAUACGUAGGUGGCAAGCGUUGUCCGGAAUUAUUGGGCGUAAAGCGCGCGCAGGCGGUUUCUUAAGUCUGAUGUGAAAGCCCCCGGCUCAACCGGGGAGGGUCAUUGGAAACUGGGGAACUUGAGUGCAGAAGAGGAGAGUGGAAUUCCACGUGUAGCGGUGAAAUGCGUAGAGAUGUGGAGGAACACCAGUGGCGAAGGCGACUCUCUGGUCUGUAACUGACGCUGAGGCGCGAAAGCGUGGGGAGCGAACAGGAUUAGAUACCCUGGUAGUCCACGCCGUAAACGAUGAGUGCUAAGUGUUAGAGGGUUUCCGCCCUUUAGUGCUGCAGCAAACGCAUUAAGCACUCCGCCUGGGGAGUACGGUCGCAAGACUGAAACUCAAAGGAAUUGACGGGGGCCCGCACAAGCGGUGGAGCAUGUGGUUUAAUUCGAAGCAACGCGAAGAACCUUACCAGGUCUUGACAUCCUCUGACAACCCUAGAGAUAGGGCUUCCCCUUCGGGGGCAGAGUGACAGGUGGUGCAUGGUUGUCGUCAGCUCGUGUCGUGAGAUGUUGGGUUAAGUCCCGCAACGAGCGCAACCCUUGAUCUUAGUUGCCAGCAUUCAGUUGGGCACUCUAAGGUGACUGCCGGUGACAAACCGGAGGAAGGUGGGGAUGACGUCAAAUCAUCAUGCCCCUUAUGACCUGGGCUACACACGUGCUACAAUGGGCAGAACAAAGGGCAGCGAAGCCGCGAGGCUAAGCCAAUCCCACAAAUCUGUUCUCAGUUCGGAUCGCAGUCUGCAACUCGACUGCGUGAAGCUGGAAUCGCUAGUAAUCGCGGAUCAGCAUGC
rnacentral:rRNA from 1 species